rnacentral:rRNA from 1 species
GACGAACGCUGGCGGCGUGCCUAACACAUGCAAGUCGAACGGAGGCAGGGGGCUUGCUCCUUGCUUUAGUGGCGCACGGGUGAGUAACGCGUGGAUAAUCUGCCUGAUACUCUGGGAUAACAUCUCGAAAGGGGUGCUAAUACCGGAUAAGCCCACGGGCUCUUCGGAGCUUGCGGGAAAAGGAGGGGACCUUCGGGCCUUCCGAUAUCAGAUGAGUCCGCGUCCCAUUAGCUAGUUGGUAGGGUAAAGGCCUACCAAGGCGACGAUGGGUAGCUGGUCUGAGAGGAUGAUCAGCCACCCUGGAAAUGAGACACGGUCCAGGCUCCUACCGGAGGCAGCAGUGGGGAAUUUUGCGCAAUGGGCGAAAGCCUGACGCAGCAACGCCGCGUGAGUGAUGAAGGCUUUCGGGUCGUAAAGCUCUGUCGAGGGGAAAGAAGUGUACUUUGGUUAAUACCCAUUGUACUUGACGGUACCCCUAAAGGAAGCACCGGCUAACUCCGUGCCAGCAGCCGCGGUAACAC